GGAGGGGUGCCCGAGUGGUUAAAGGGGACGGACUGUAAAUCCGUUGGCUCAGCCUACGUUGGUUCAAAUCCAACCCCCUCCACCA
rnacentral:tRNA from 2 species